rnacentral:misc_RNA from 1 species
GAUGAAGAACGUAGCGAAAUGCGAUAAGUAAUGCGAAUUGCAGAAUUUCCGUGAGUCAUCGAAUCUUUGAACGCACAUUGCGCCCACUGGUAUUCCGGUGGGCAUGCCUGUUCGAGCGUCAUUAUCCUCCCUCAAACCUCGGGUUUGGUGUUGGACCCAAGUUGUGUGAACAACUGGUCUCAAAGACAAUGACGGCGUCCGUGGGACCCUCGGUGCAACGAGCUUUUAAACGAGCACGCGUCGAGUUUCAAGGACCGUCCGGGCCGGUCUCCUUCUUUAAUUUACAAAGGUUGACCUCGGAUCAGGUAGGAAUACCCGCUGAACUUAAGCAUAUCAAUAAGCGGAGGA